GACGAACGCUGGCGGCGUGCUUAACACAUGCAAGUCGAACGGAAAGGCCCCUUUUUGGUUACUCGAGUGGCGAACGGUUGAGUAACACGUGAUUAACCUUCCCUUGACUUCUGGUUAACUUCAUGAAACUGGGGCUAAUACCGGAUAGGAAUCCUUUCUGCAUGGUGGGGGUUGGAAAGCUUCUGCGGUUUUGUGUGGACUGGCGGCUUAUCUGCUUGUUGGUGGGGUUGUGGCUUACAUAGGCUUUGACGGGUAGCCGGCCUGAGAGGGCGACCGGCCAAAGUGGGACUGAGAUAAGGCCCAGACUCCGACGGGAGGAAGAAGGGGGGAAUAUUGAACAAUGGGCGGAAGCCGGAUGCAGAAAAGCCGCGGGCGGGAGGACGGCCUUCGGGUUGUAAAACGAAUUCAGCAGGGGCGAAGCUUGUGGUGACGGUACCUGCAGAAGAAGCACCGGCUAACUACGUG
rnacentral:rRNA from 1 species